GCCAGACUCCUACGGGAGGCAGCAGUGAGGAAUAUUGGUCAAUGGACGCAAGUCUGAACCAGCCAUGCCGCGUGCAGGAAGACGGCUCUAUGAGUUGUAAACUGCUUUUGUACGAGGGUAAAUGCAGGUACGUGUAUCUGUUUGAAAGUAUCGUACGAAUAAGGAUCGGCUAACUCCGUGCCAGCAGCCGCGGUAAUACGGAGGAUCCAAGCGUUAUCCGGAUUUAUUGGGUUUAAAGGGUGCGCAGGCGGUUUUAUAAGUUAGAGGUGAAAUGUCGGGGCUCAACCCCGAAACUGCCUCUAAUACUGUUGGACUAGAGAAUAGUUGCGGUAGGCGGAAUGUAUGGUGUAGCGGUGAAAUGCUUAGAGAUCAUACAGAACACCGAUUGCGAAGGCAGCUUGCUAGGCCGGAUCUGACACUGAUGCACGAAAGCGUGGGGAUCGAACAGGAUUAGAUACCCUGGUAUAA
rnacentral:rRNA from 1 species